rnacentral:tRNA from 1 species
UGGCUCAGAGGUUAAGAGCACUGGCUGCUCUUCCAGAGGUCCUGAGUUCAAUUCCCAGCAACCACA